GAAUUCGCCCUUAGAGUUUGAUCCUGGCUCAGGAUAAACGCUGGCGGCGCACAUAAGACAUGCAAGUCGAACGGAAGUCGUUAUAAAAUAGAUUGAAGAUUUAUCUGAUUGAAGUUUUAUAACAAUGAUUUUAGUGGCGGACUGGUGAGUAACGCGUGAGCAACCUGCCUACUAGAGGGGAAUAACAGUGAGAAAUCAUUGCUAAUACCGCAUAUGCCGUGAACAUCACAUGAUGAAAACGGGAAAGGAGCAAUUCGCUAGUAGAUGGGCUCGCGUCUGAUUAGAUAGUUGGUGGGGUAACGGCCUACCAAGUCAACGAUCAGUAGCCGGACUGAGAGGUUGAACGGCCACAUUGGGACUGAGAUACGGCCCAGACUCCUACGGGAGGCAGCAGUCGGGAAUAUUGCGCAAUGGAGGAAACUCUGACGCAGUGACGCCGCGUAUAGGAAGAAGGUUUUCGGAUUGUAAACUAUUGUCGUUAGGGAAGAUACAAGACAGUACCUAAGGAGGAAGCUCCGGCUAACUACGUGCCAGCAGCCGCGGUAAUACGUAGGGAGCAAGCGUUAUCCGGAUUUAUUGGGUGUAAAGGGUGCGUAGACGGGACAACAAGUUAGUUGUGAAAUCCCUCGGCUCAACUGAGGAACUGCAACUAAAACUAUUGUUCUUGAGUGUUGGAGAGGAAAGUGGAAUUCCUAGUGUAGCGGUGAAAUGCGUAGAUAUUAGGAGGAACACCGGUGGCGAAGGCGACUUUCUGGACAAUAACUGACGUUGAGGCACGAAAGUGUGGGGAGCAAACAGGAUUAGAUACCCUGGUAGUCCACACCGUAA
rnacentral:rRNA from 1 species